GGAAUAUUGGACAAUGCACGAAAGUGUGAUCCAGCAAUGCCGCGUGAGUGAAGAAGGCCUUAGGGUUGUAAAGCUCUUUUACCAGGGAUGAUAAUGACAGUACCUGGAGAAUAAGCUCCGGCUAACUCCGUGCCAGCAGCCGCGGUAAUACGGAGGGAGCUAGCGUUGUUCGGAAUUACUGGGCGUAAAGCGCGCGUAGGCGGCUUUUCAAGUCAGAGGUGAAAUCCCGGGGCUUAACCCCGGAACUGCCUUUGAAACUGGAUGGCUAGAAUCUUGGAGAGGUGAGUGGAAUUCCGAGUGUAGAGGUGAAAUUCGUAGAUAUUCGGAAGAACACCAGUGGCGAAGGCGACUCACUGGACAAGUAUUGACGCUGAGGUGCGAAAGCGUGGGGAGCAAACAGGA
rnacentral:misc_RNA from 1 species